AGACCAGAUAUAGUCCGGCUAUGUGUAACCCACUUUUAGCCCAAAUAACAUUUAAUCUGGAUAAAUGUAUUUUUUUUUGCAAAAUAACUUGUGAGAUGUAUGAUAUUCCAUCAUGUACGCAGAGUCUAACGUGAUUACAAGUUGUUUGGUUUACUUUAUUUUACAUGUUAUAUGUGUAGGCUGUGCGUAGCCACGAUUUAGCUCGUAUUCAGACCCGGCUAUUGUAGCCCACUUUUUGUCAAAACUGAUUAAUUGUAUUUUUUUGCCAGGCAGUGCAUGAAAUGGUUAAUAUUCAAUCAUGUUCGCAUUGGUAUGAUAUCAAGGUUCAAUACGUCAUUUCACGGCAUGGUAGAUCACGAUUUAGCUCCGAAUUGGACGGGCUAUAUGCGGUCUGCUUUAGCCCACCUGGCGAAAUUAUUGCAAUCUGGGCUCAGAUAUAGACCAGCGACCUAGAAUAUUAGUCUUUGAAAUGUUUUCGCUUACACAGCUUAAUAUAUAUUUUCUGUCAAACAUUCAUACACAAUCUACGAUAAAAAUAUCUAAUCAAAUGCAAUUGCAUUUCCCAACCGCUAGAUGGCACAAUUGAAACACUACUGAGACAUGUCUACUGGAACUAAUGCCAUUGCGUGACUAGAUCACUUAAGCCAAAUCUCGCGAUAAACAUUUCCGCCAUUUUAUUUUACACGAGGCAGCUGUCGGAGAGCAACGGGUGAGCAACAGUCUGAGUGAAAACCUUCACAUUUCUACUUCGAUCUUGUAAGUAUGCGUGUUAUUUUUGAUAUGUUUAUUGUUUAAAUUAGUUAGCUGUUAUAAUGUGUAGAAACCGUGACAUUUUAACAUUAACAUUGCAGAGUACUACUUUUCUCCAAAAAGUUAACGUUACCUUGCACGUGUUAUUGCAAAUGUAUCUAAAUUCAAUGAAUGUGGUAAGCAUGAAACUAUGAAACUUAUCAUUACUAUUUUUUUAUUAUUAUAAAGAUACCAGUAUUUAUUUGUAUUUAAAUUAGAGUUGAUUUAAAGCAAAUUCUGUAAGUACUUUACAUAAAAUUUAACAGCAGCAUAGUGCAACAUGAAAAGAAAUUAAAAAAAAAAAAAUCCUCUCCAUUUAAUAAAAGGUAGUGGCAAACAUAAAGUCUUUAAACUUGUUUGUAAAUAAUUAAAAUAUGCAGCAUACAUUCAGUUUUCAGUGAAUUUGUUUCAGAUAUAAAUUUGAAUGCUGCUUCUCCAUGUUUUGUUUUGACUUUGGAGAUAUAAAAGUAGCUGGGUACUGUCCCAGAUGUACUGAGAGGUCUGCUCUGGAUGGUUCAUAGUGCAUCAGAAGAUUAGAAAUUUACUUUGGCCUUAAAAUGUUAAUUUAAUAACCAACUGUAGUUGUUGGAUAUUAAUUUUUUGACAGAUAGCCAGUGUAAAAACCUCAGAACUGGAGUGAUGUAAUCCACUUUAUUUGAUUUAAAGACACUGUUUAUUGGAAAUUAUCCUGCAAUCAGUCAACAAAGUACAGCAAUUGAAUAUACAGAACACUUGUCAGUGACUACCAUUAAAUGUCUUGUUACCAACAUUCAUCAAAAUAUAUUUUUUUGUGUGUGUUCAACAGAAGAAAGCCAUACAGGUUUGGAACCAAGUGAAAACGCAGUGAUGACCAGCUUUCCAUCAGCUAUGGAAUGUGAAAUAAAAAAAUGCUAUUUCUAAUCAUUUCAAACAAGCACCAGGGAGGGCAGGGGGUGGGGGUUAUGGAUCUAAAGUAAACAGUUAAUUCUUAAAAAUUAAUUGUUUUACAUAUUUUUCCAAUGUUUUUUAUUUGUUCAUUUUUAUGUUUGAAUGUUGUCCAAGUUGUUUUUGUCUAUAUAAUUGUUCAAAAUAAAUCCCUUUAUAUUCAAUUAGUUUGGAUGGAUUUUCAUUUAUGAGAACCUGUUAUAUUUGAGUGAAAAGAAUCCUUA